UUACUGGUAAAGUAAAACACACCUAUCGUUAUUUUUUACUUUCGAUACUCGCGUCAGUAUCAAUAUAUCGAUACUUCAGGAUCGAUGCGCCCAUCCCUAAUGAACAUGCAAAAAAUGACUGAAUAUAUUAACAAACACAUGCAAGUGUUUUUUUUCUUCAUCAGUCUGUACCUACAUCAAUCUCGUCAUCAUUCGAUGCUAUCUGUACUUGUGCAUUUACAUAUCCACUUGACUACCAUGUGGCACUUACUCUCUCUCUCCACGCGCAAAGAUACAUUGUCUUUGUCCCUGGUGAAUCUUAUUUUGGGUACAUCACUGACGCUUUCUUGAGGGCUGAACUUUGCUCACACCCUCCUAUACACUUCCAGUACUCGUUAACUCAGUGUCCUCUUGGUUGUCUCACAUCUCCCCGCGGAGGCGUGCCCACGGCGCUCAAAUACAGCGCUGCAGACGCGCGCCUGACUCAUUGGGUUUGUCAGAGCGUACAGUGAGGUAAGCAGAGCCGCGCUGCCCACGCCGAGGAGAACAUGCGAUAGUCUCGAGACUCGAACCAUAUCCACUCCCCACACUGAGAAACAGCGCGUUCGUCUCAGUAUAUCGUGAAGUCCCGUUGAAGAUUUAGGAGAGAAAAGUUUUAUGAGGUGACAAAAGAUACAACGGUUUGGACGUCCACUUUCCAUUCAGCUGUUUGCGGAGGACGCAUGCUUUACCUGUGCCGGACCAAAAGCGAAGAUUGCAUGAAAGAUCUCAAGACUGUACUGAGUUGCGCCACACUGGGAGGCUUGCUGGAUAAGCAGGAGAAGCAUCCCUGUGACUCCAAAAGAGUGUCUCCGCUUCUAUCUUCUCCCACGAUGGCCCUGGCCUCCUUCCAUCUGAUGCAAACUCUAAGGAACUCUCCGGCGGCUCUGCGUCGACGAUUCCGUCGCGACCGAACGGAGAGCCUGUCUCACGGCGAUCCCCUCUUCAAGGUGCACUACCUCGGCACAGAGAAGAUCUUCUCCCUGGACUUGGAGCAGGCGGAGGAUGCCAUCGAUCGACUCCUGGAUGGAGCCCCUGGGAAGCUUUCUAAAGAUCACGCCCUAGUAGUGCGACCCCGAUACGUGGAAGUUAAAGAACUGAGCACCGGAAGGCAGCUCACCAAGACCUACUUGCAGGAUAUAGCGUACUGCGCCUCGCACACGGCCAGACCCAAUGUGUUUCUGUACAUCUGCAGGCAGCCCGGUCAACAGCUGCAAUGCAGAGUGUUCUGGUGCAGUCGGGCAGAAAGGGCGAAGGACAUGACCGCCUGCUUGGCAAUGUCGUUUCAGAGAGCACUAAAUGACUGGCAGGGUGGAUGUGCCACAUUGCCGCAAGGGGAAGGGAUCACUAAAGAGCCAGAGAUUUCUGGUACACCCACUGCACCCAAAGGUUCAACAUUGCCAGCUAGUUUGGGAAAAGUCCGUUGGAAGAAGAGGGGGUCGGUGUCCCGCAGUCCUCUCCGUGCCAUUUCCAGAAGUGGUUCUGCCAGUGACAACUGGCAUUGAUGGGCCCCGUCCCACCCUGAACCUUGACCACAUUCAUUUUGUGAUGCUUGGGAUUUUCCAGCAUAGAAUGUGAGCAAAAGGACAACCACACCUACAACUGGUGGAACUUUUGAGCUUUGAUAGAGUUUGCAACUCAACUUCAGAGUCUGUAUUCUAAACAGCCACUGAAUUUGAGUUUAUGGAUUUACCAAAUUGAUGAAACGUAGGUUUCCAGAGAUCACUUUUUUUGGUUUAGGAAAAUUAUGGGUCCAGUCAUGCUGGUAUAAAUUUCAUCUCAGUUUGCUUAAGGACUAUGAGACAAAACCAAAACUGCUAAUCUGAGCUGAACUGGUAUCUAGAUUUAAAGCCAUGUACGUAUCACAGAGUUGAGUUUUUCUUGUCAGUCUCCUCCUGUGUGUACACUACAUGUCUGGGUAGUUUGUUAAUGUGACUGAUGAGCAGUCAGACAGGCUUUGUUUGUAUUAGAGGUGUCAG
ensembl:lncRNA